rnacentral:rRNA from 1 species
GUGGGGAAUAUUGGACAAUGGGCGAAAGCCUGAUCCAGCCAUGCCGCGUGUGUGAAGAAGGUCUUCGGAUUGUAAAGCACUUUAAGUUGGGAGGAAGGGCAGUAAGUUAAUACCUUGCUGUUUUGACGUUACCGACAGAAUAAGCACCGGCUAACUUCGUGCCAGCAGCCGCGGUAAUACGAAGGGUGCAAGCGUUAAUCGGAAUUACUGGGCGUAAAGCGCGCGUAGGUGGUUUUGUAAGUUGGAGGUGAAAUCCCCGGGCUCAACCUGGGAACUGCCUCCAAAACUGCAUGACUAGAGUACGGUAGAGGGUAGUGGAAUUUCCUGGGUAGCGGUGAAAUGCGUAGAUAUAGGAAGGAACACCAGUGGCGAAGGCGACUACCUGGACUGAUACUGACACUGAGGUGCGAAAGCAUGGGGAGCAAACAGGAUUAGAAACCCGGGUAGUCC